rfam:Oikopleura dioica, whole genome shotgun assembly, reference scaffold set, scaffold scaffold_3
GGCUAGAUGGCCGAGUGGUCUAAGGCGCUGCGUUCAGGUCGCAGUCCUCUUUGAGGGCGUGGGUUCGAAUCCCACUCUAGUCA